UACAGAGGUCCCGAGCGUUGUUCGGAUUCACUGGGCGUAAAGGGUGCGUAGGCGGUGGGGUAAGUUUGAAGUGAAAGCUCCGGGCUCAACCCGGAAAAUGCCUUGAAAACUAUCCGGCUAGAGGGUUGGAGGGGAGACUGGAAUUCUCGGUGUAGCAGUGAAAUGCGUAGAUCUCGAGAGGAACACCAGUGGCGAAGGCGGGUCUCUGGACAACACCUGACGCUGAGGCACGAAAGCCAGGGGAGCAAACGGG
rnacentral:rRNA from 1 species